UACGUAGGUGACCAGCGUUGUCCGGAUUUACUGGGCGUAAAGAGCGCGAGAGCGGUCGUUCAAGUCGAGUGUGAAAGCCCCCGGCUCAACUGGGGAGGGUCACUCGAUACUGAUCGACUUGAAGGCAGGAGAGGGAAGCGGAAUUCCCGGUGUAGUGGUGAAAUGCGUAGAUAUCGGGAGGAACACCAGUGGCGAAGGCGGCUUCCUGGCCUGUUCUUGCGCUGAGGCGCGAAAGCUAGGGGAGCAAACGGG
rnacentral:rRNA from 1 species